CGACCACCACGCCGCCCUUUCCCUCGAUGAAGCCAAGGAUAGCCCAGGCGACGUGCGUGCCGAUGGCAGCGAUCUCGGAGCGGCAGCAGCCAGGGGACGGCGACCUUAGGAGCGGGGCACGCGCGUGCCAAGAACAUCGGCCGCGGGGCAGGCGCGUCCGGCGGCAGGCGCGUGCUAGGGACGGCACCCUCGGGGCGGAGCAGCCUAGGUGACGUGCGUACCGGUGGCGGCGACCUCGGAACGAGCAGCAGCGGGCUGGGGACGGCGACUUUGGAGGUGGGACACGCUCGUGCUGGCGGUGGCGACCGCGGGGCGGGGAAGCCGCAUGCCAAAGAUGGCGUCCUUGGGGCAGAGCGGCCUAGGCGGCGUGCGUGCCGCCGACGGCGACCUCGGGACAGACCAGCAGCGGGCAGGGGACGAUGACCUUGGGGGCUGGGCACGCGCUUGCCGGCGGCGGCGACCGCGGGACGGGGCGGGCGCGUGCCAGGGACGGCGCCCUUGGGGCAGAGCAGGUGCGGCCUUGGGACAGCGACCUUGGGGCGGACCACGCGCGGGCUGGCAGCGGCCACGUCGGGGCGCAGCAGGAAGGGGGUCCGUGCGCGGCCACUGCACUGCCACGGCUGCCGGGACAAGGAGGAGGCCACCCCGCUGCUCUCCCCCCAUGGCAGAGGCGGUGCUGCACGGACGACGUGAUGUUGCUGCUCACCGACGCUCCGCGUUCGCCGCAGCACUCUGGUGACCACUCCGGCGGUGGCCGAUUCCCUUCCAAGCGAGUUCAUGCCCCAGCACUAGGAGACGUCUUGCUUGCGCUGAUCCAGAUUCUAGCAUUUUCCAACUCUUACAUAUUAAUCUUUACGAGCAGAUGUACAGGUUGGACUCAAGACAACGAUGAGCGGCGCUUGGUUCAAGUGGAGCACGUUCUGGAUGGCCAGAUCGACGACUCUAAGGGCGGCAUGAUGCUAUAAACCUUGACUAAAUCGGCGUGCAGGUAAGGUAAGUGUUCUUUAGCUAUCAAAUCCGUUGUAGUUCCGCGCCGUUUUGACUCAUGCAUCGGCGGCUUGAGCUCUGGAGGAUCCUCCCCUGCCAUGUCCCUAGCAGUCGUCGGAUUUGGGCGUCAUGGUCCGGAUGUGUACCCGGGAGCCUCUCUGAUCCUUGCAUCCUCUCGAUCAUCUUCCCCUCUUCAUUACUUUUUUUUUUGCUUUAAGGUGUCUUUCUCAUCUGUUUUGUAAUUCUGGUUUGCAAUGCAAAACAUAUAGAUUUUCUCUCUUGUGUUCAGUAAUUCUGGCAGGAACAAUGCAGAAGUACAUGCGUCCUUACAAAACAGUUCACUCAAAAGCUUCAACUUGCAAUAUUUUGAUGUGCAUGAUUCCAUCCGGAUCUUACUUUGGUAUUUCAGAGGAAGUGGCAACUAUACGAUUUGCUGAGGCGCGGAUCCUAGCCAUAGUUGUACUUGCAGGCUGCACUUGUGCCGCUGGAGUUGCAGGCGACAGCUGCAAUACAUACCAUCCAUAUGCUGUAGUUCACGAUCUGGAUCAGAUGGCUGCCUUGUGACUGGGCUAUAAGCCUAUAACUCUCCCUAGCUCACAAAAUAAAUAUUUGAUCUGGGGAACUAAUACUUAUUUUAGUUUCCAUUCCCAUCAUCCCACGUGAGUUCUGAAGUUGUUAGUGGUAGGCUCCAAUUGAAUAUUUGAUGCAAUUAUUUCUUGCCGUAGCUGAGAGGUCAGUGGUCUAAUGUCAGCUAAUAUCACUUCCAUAUUCUUGGUUAAUACUUAAUAGGUCACACAAGUUUCAUGGGCCUAUAUGCCCAGUUCAUGUAUUCUUUGUUCCUGGUAGUUAGGGUUACUAGAUGUAUGUGUUAUUUUCUGCAGGUAGUCAUGGUUUUGCCUGUUCUACGUCUUUGGCAGUCUCAGCUGCCUAUAGCUUUAGAUUUUUCUUCAGGUCCAGGUGCUAUAUAGGGUGGUUUGUGCUGACAUAUUUUUUUUAGAUUCUUUUUGUCUUUCUACUUAUUUUUGUCAUGUACAUAUAAGAUUCUUUAUUUGCAAGAGGUAAUGGACUAUAAAAGUAGGCACUUUAGAUCAUUUCAUGGUUGCAGGUAGAUUCAAUAAGUUAGACAUAGCUUCAGAUAAUAUCUGAUUUGCAUUUAUACAAUCAAAACAUUUUCUUUUCCUUUAUCCAGUGUUCAACUAAUGUAGAUGCAAUUGGAUAGCUCACAUCUCCAUUGUUGCACAUUUUCGUGAACUGGACAUUGCAUUGUCUGCUUUGUCUGAUCAAUUAUAUUGUAUGUCGUUUUUAAACCAUGACACAUAUGUUAGUCUGUACACUUCUUUGUUAGUGCUUUCAUUAGACUUUAUAGAUCGGUGAGUACUUUCCGUGGACUUACCAAUAAACAACAUACCAUGCUUUAUGUUAAUUAGAUAUAUUGUUCUUACUGUCUAUAUUAGAAAAAUAGAAAUCAGUUCAUGUUUCAGGUUCAGUUAUCCUAUAAUUAGACAUUGUUCUUGCUGUCCCUGUUAGAAAAAAUAAAUAUUGGAUCAUGUUUUUGGUUAAGUUAUCCUAAAAUUGGGCAGACUUCUUUUGCUGUCCAAGUUGAAUAGUUCGUUACAUGCUGCACUCCAUUUACCAACUGGCAUCAGGCCAUUGGUCAUAAUUAUUCUUCUGCUCGGGUACCGUUUGUUCAAAUUUCAAAAUUGAAGAAAGUUAAAACCUAAAUAAAUUUCAAUUAAUAGUUUUAAAAAUAGAACAAAUUUUGAAUGCCGCUGAUCGAACGACCCCGAUCUGUCAUGCUGGGAGAGCGACGUGUACAUCUCGUCUUCUUGUCGAACCACCUGUGUUGUCGAUCUUUUUCUGAUCGGGGGAGUAUUACAAUCAGGAGUUCAGGACAGCUACGACCAAGCAGCAGCAGCAGCGAUGGAAUGGACCAAGCUUUGUACAGAACAACAGCAAUGGCAUGGGCCAAAAUUUAUACAGAUCGGGACGUGUGGGCUUUUUGGCAUCGGACACGGUCAGCUACGUAGAAUAACUUGUUUUUUUAGGGAGCUGUACUUUUGCUGAGAGAUAGAAAAACCAUCAGAAGUGGAAGAAACCGCAAUGCCAAGAAAAUAGCGAAGAGGGCCAAGAUCAGUCAUAAGAAACUGAUCGCGGAGACGAGCCUUGACAAAGGCAAUAUACUCAGGAUCAUCGCCAGUAAUGAUCAUAUCAUCAACAUAGAGAAGAAGAACAAUACGUCCACGAGGAGAAGUGUGAACAAAGAGUGAUGGAUCAUGAAGACUAGGAGAGAAACCAGCAGCAGUCACCACAGAGGCGAAGCGCUCAAACCAGGCACGAGGGGCCUGUUUGAGACCAUAGAGAGAACGUCGAAGACGACAAACCAUCCCAUCGGGAACAGAAUACUCGUCGUUAGGCUGGUUCUUCAGGAUCUUCUGCUGUUGCGUUAUCUGAUCAGGACAUUAUCCGUGGUCUGCUCGCUGGUACAGGCUCUUCCUCGACGGGUACUGCUGGUUCUGUGCCUGGCUCUUCUGGCACCGCGCGACCACCACCUUCCACACAGUCAGGACCGCCGUACACAUGCCCUAGUUGGAGCUGGCCCUCGCAGCCUUGAGUCCCCGGGGCUCUGGGAAUUAGACUGGCUUCGCGUUCCUUCUGCUGACACUUCAUCUGUCAGUUCUCAUGCGGUUGCUGCUUCUGUCACUGGAUCUUUUCAGCAGUGGCAUCAUCGGCUGGGUCACCUCUGUGGCUCCCGUUUAUCGUCAUUAGUUUGUCGUGGUCUUCUGGGGUCUUUCUCAGAAGAUGUGUCUUUGCAUUCGUGUCAGGGUUGUAGGUUAGGCAAACAGAUUCAGCUUCCCUAUCCUACUAGUGCGUCUGUAUCUCAGCGACCUUUUGAUUUAGUUCAUUCAGAUGUUUGGGGUCCGGCUCCCUUUCCUUCGAAAGGGGGUCAUCGAUACUAUAUUUUGUUUAUUGAUGAUUUUUCGCGAUACACCUGGUUGUUUCUUAUGCACUCUCGCAGUGAGGUGCUCUCUA